rnacentral:rRNA from 1 species
UUAAGCGACUAAGCGUACACGGUGGAUGCCCUGGCAGUCAGAGGCGAUGAAGGGCGUGCUAAUCUGCGAUAAGCGCCGGUAAGGUGAUAUGAACCGUUAUAACCGGCGAUACCCGAAUGGGGAAACCCAGUGUGAUUCGUCACACUAUCAUUAACUGAAUCCAUAGGUUAAUGAGGCGAACCGGGGGAACUGAAACAUCUAAGUACCCCGAGGAAAAGAAAUCAACCGAGAUUCCCCCAGUAGCGGCGAGCGAACGGGGAGGAGCCCAGAGCCUGAAUCAGCAUGUGUGUUAGUGGAAGCGUCUGGAAAGGCGCGCGAUACAGGGUGACAGCCCCGUACACAAAAGCGCAUGUGCUGUGAGCUCGAUGAGUAGGGCGGGACACGUGGUAUCCUGUCUGAAUAUGGGGGACCAUCCUCCAAGGCUAAAUACUCCUGACUGACCGAUAGUGAACCAGUACCGUGAGGGAAAGGCGAAAAGAACCCCGGCGAGGGGAGUGAAAAAGAACCUGAAACCGUGUACGUACAAGCAGUGGGAGCACCCUUCGGGGUGUGACUGCGUACCUUUUGUAUAAUGGGUCAGCGACUUAUAUUCUGUAGCAAGGUUAACCGUAUAGGGGAGCCGGAGGGAAACCGAGUCUUAACCGGGCGUUAAGUUGCAGGGUAUAGACCCGAAACCCGGUGAUCUAGCCAUGGGCAGGUUGAAGGUUGGGUAACACUAACUGGAGGACCGAACCGACUAAUGUUGAAAAAUUAGCGGAUGACCUGUGGCUGGGGGUGAAAGGCCAAUCAAACCGGGAGAUAGCUGGUUCUCCCCGAAAGCUAUUUAGGUAGCGCCUCGUGAAUUCAUCUCCGGGGGUAGAGCACUGUUUCGGCUAGGGGGCCAUCCCGGCUUACCAACCCGAUGCAAACUGCGAAUACCGGAGAAUGUUAUCACGGGAGACACACGGCGGGUGCUAACGUCCGUCGUGAAGAGGGAAACAACCCAGACCGCCAGCUAAGGUCCCAAAGUCAUGGUUAAGUGGGAAACGAUGUGGGAAGGCCCAGACAGCCAGGAUGUUGGCUUAGAAGCAGCCAUCAUUUAAAGAAAGCGUAAUAGCUCACUGGUCGAGUCGGCCUGCGCGGAAGAUGUAACGGGGCUAAACCAUGCACCGAAGCUGCGGCAGCGAACGUAUCACCCAAGACAACUUUACGGAGUUGACGAUUGACGGAGCGAAGCGACGUCAAAGCGUUCAUUAAAGUCGAGUUGGCUUAGGGAUACGUUCGUUGGGUAGGGGAGCGUUCUGUAAGCCUGUGAAGGUGUGUCGUGAGGCAUGCUGGAGGUAUCAGAAGUGCGAAUGCUGACAUAAGUAACGAUAAAGCGGGUGAAAAGCCCGCUCGCCGGAAGACCAAGGGUUCCUGUCCAACGUUAAUCGGGGCAGGGUGAGUCGACCCCUAAGGCGAGGCCGAAAGGCGUAGUCGAUGGGAAACGGGUUAAUAUUCCCGUACUUGGUGUUACUGCGAAGGGGGGACGGAGAAGGCUAUGUUGGCCGGGCGACGGUUGUCCCGGUUUAAGCGUGUAGGUGUGUGUUCCAGGUAAAUCCGGUUCACUUUAACACUGAGGCGUGACGACGAGGCACUACGGUGCUGAAGCAACAAAUGCCCUGCUUCCAGGAAAAGCCUCUAAGCAUCAGGUAACAUCAAAUCGUACCCCAAACCGACACAGGUGGUCAGGUAGAGAAUACCAAGGCGCUUGAGAGAACUCGGGUGAAGGAACUAGGCAAAAUGGUGCCGUAACUUCGGGAGAAGGCACGCUGACACGUAGGUGAAGUGAUUUACUCAUGGAGCUGAAGUCAGUCGAAGAUACCAGCUGGCUGCAACUGUUUAUUAAAAACACAGCACUGUGCAAACACGAAAGUGGACGUAUACGGUGUGACGCCUGCCCGGUGCCGGAAGGUUAAUUGAUGGGGUCAGCGCAAGCGAAGCUCCUGAUCGAAGCCCCGGUAAACGGCGGCCGUAACUAUAACGGUCCUAAGGUAGCGAAAUUCCUUGUCGGGUAAGUUCCGACCUGCACGAAUGGCGUAAUGAUGGCCAGGCUGUCUCCACCCGAGACUCAGUGAAAUUGAACUCGCUGUGAAGAUGCAGUGUACCCGCGGCAAGACGGAAAGACCCCGUGAACCUUUACUAUAGCUUGACACUGAACAUUGAGCCUUGAUGUGUAGGAUAGGUGGGAGGCUUUGAAGUGUGGACGCCAGUCUGCAUGGAGCCGACCUUGAAAUACCACCCUUUAAUGUUUGAUGUUCUAACGUGGACCCGUAAUCCGGGUUGCGGACAGUGUCUGGUGGGUAGUUUGACUGGGGCGGUCUCCUCCUAAAGAGUAACGGAGGAGCACGAAGGUUGGCUAAUCCUGGUCGGACAUCAGGAGGUUAGUGCAAUGGCAUAAGCCAGCUUGACUGCGAGCGUGACGGCGCGAGCAGGUGCGAAAGCAGGUCAUAGUGAUCCGGUGGUUCUGAAUGGAAGGGCCAUCGCUCAACGGAUAAAAGGUACUCCGGGGAUAACAGGCUGAUACCGCCCAAGAGUUCAUAUCGACGGCGGUGUUUGGCACCUCGAUGUCGGCUCAUCACAUCCUGGGGCUGAAGUAGGUCCCAAGGGUAUGGCUGUUCGCCAUUUAAAGUGGUACGCGAGCUGGGUUUAGAACGUCGUGAGACAGUUCGGUCCCUAUCUGCCGUGGGCGCUGGAGAACUGAGGGGGGCUGCUCCUAGUACGAGAGGACCGGAGUGGACGCAUCACUGGUGUUCGGGUUGUCAUGCCAAUGGCACUGCCCGGUAGCUAAAUGCGGAAGAGAUAAGUGCUGAAAGCAUCUAAGCACGAAACUUGCCCCGAGAUGAGUUCUCCCUGAGACUUAGAGUCUCCUGAAGGAACGUUGAAGACGACGACGUUGAUAGGCCGGGUGUGUAAGCGCAGCGAUGCGUUGAGCUAACCGGUACUAAUGAACCGUGAGGCUUAACCUU